rnacentral:rRNA from 1 species
UACGUAGGCAGCAAGCGUUGUUCGGAGUUACUGGGCGUAAAGGGUGUGUAGGCGGUUUUUUAAGUUUGGUGUGAAAUCUCCCGGCUCAACUGGGAGGGUGCGCCGAAUACUGAAAGACUAGAGUGCGGGAGAGGAAAGUGGAAUUCCUGGUGUAGCGGUGAAAUGCGUAGAUAUCAGGAGGAACACCGGUGGUGUAGACGGCUUUCUGGACCGUAACUGACGCUGAGGCACGAAAGCGUGGGUAGCAAACAGG